AAUGAAAGACACAUUGAGAAAGAAAGAACAUUGUUUGUUGUUACUCACUCUCUCUUCAAAGCGAGUGGCAUAAAAAUUGUUUGUUGUUUUGUUUUUGUCAUCUCUUAGCUUACCUUAACCUCUCACUUUGGGAACUGCUUCCUUCCCACUUUCACAGAUUUUGGAUUCUUUCCUUCUAACCACAAAGAUAAGAAAUUUGGCAAAUUUGGAUCCAUCCAUCCAUCACUCACAAACACAAACAUAAAGCCCAACCGAAUAAGUUUCACUUUUCACUUUUCUCUUUCAACUCAACUUCACCACACACACCUUCUCUUCUUCUUCUUCUUCUGCUUCUUCAUUCAAAGUUUAAAACUUUAACUUUAUCAGAAGAAAAAUAUCCCAAAUGGUCAAAUACCCAUUAAUCAUUUAGGUGAGUUCAUUUCAAGAAAUUUUCUCAAAAGCCCAAAAAAGAAAUAAGAAAAAAAUUGUUUUUUUUUUUAAAUCUUUUUUAACACUUCCAUUACUAUUUUUGUGUUUUUUUUUUUCUUCAUUUGAAGUGAUAUAUUUGAACCAAUAGAUAUGUUAGAUUGAAACAUCUUAGUACUGUACUUUGUUUUUAUUUAUCUGAAAUUUUAAGGUUAUUAAAAAAGCUUAGAUUUUCAUAGUACUUUUGUUGUUGUAACAUAAGAAGAUGUGACUUAGGAUCUUGUUUGGUUGGAAGAGAAUAUUUUUAAUUUUUUGUUGUGAUUUUUGUUAGAUGUCAGAAACUAUGUAUCCUAAAUUGUUAUUUGAACAUACCCAUUUGAGAAUGGCUUUGAUUAAUCAUCAAAUCCAUCAAAAAGAUGCAAACUUUAUGAAUUAUCCACCACCAACACUACCAUUAUCACCACAAGUUUUGUCUUCAUCUUCAUCAAGUUCUUCAACAACAACAACAACAACAACAUCUUCAUCUUCUAGUACUAGAAUUAGUCCUGCUGUUCUUUUCAUCAUAGUAGUUCUUGCAGUUCUUUUUUUCAUAUCUGGUUUACUUCACUUGCUUGUUAGAUUUCUCAUAAAGAAUCCAUCUUCUUCAGCUUCUAAUCAAUCUAAUAGACACCCUAAUGAAAUUUCAACUUCUGAUGCACUUCAAAGACAGCUUCAACAGCUUUUCCAUCUUCAUGAUUCUGGUUUGGAUCAAGCUUUUAUUGAUGCACUUCCUGUUUUUCAUUUUAAGGAGAUUGUUGGUUUGAAAAAAGACCCUUUUGAUUGUGCUGUUUGUUUGUGUGAAUUUUCUGAGAAAGAUAAGCUUAGAUUGUUACCUAUGUGUAGUCAUGCUUUUCAUAUUAGUUGUAUAGAUACUUGGCUACUUUCAAACUCAACAUGUCCUCUUUGUAGAGGAACACUUCACACUCCUGGAUUUUCUAUUGAAAAUCCAAUUUUCGAUUUCGAUGAUAUGAGGGAAGAUGAUGGUUGUCCUUGUAAUGGAGAAAGUGGAUUUGUUAAUAGACAAAAAGAAAUUGUUGUUGAAGAAGUUGUAGAUAAAGGGGUUUUUCCUGUUCGACUCGGUAAAUUCAAGAAGAUGAAUGCGGAAGCUGGUAGAGAGAACGAAGAAGUAGGUGAAACGAGUAGUAGUAAUUUGGAUGCUAGAAGAUGUUUUUCGAUGGGAAGUUACCAAUACGAGGUCGGAAAUUCGGAUUUAAGGGUUGCUUUAAACCAUGAAAGUAAAAAUCUUCAUCAUCAUCAUGAUGCAAGGCUUAACAAAGGAAUAGGAAAUGGUGAGAGUAUUUGUGUGGAGGAUGAUUUGGAAGCAAAGAAGAUUAGUAAUGUUAGUAAAGGUGAAAGUUUUUCGAUUUCGAAGAUUUGGUUGUGGCCAAGGAAAGGAAAGUUUUCUUCUUCUAGUUCUUUAGAAGCUCAUCAUAAUGGCAUGCCAUUGCCAUCUUAUCUUAACAAAGAUUUGCAUCAUCAUGGGAUGAGGGAAACAGAUGGUGUAUGAAGUAGUGAAAGGUUUGGAUUAGCGGUAAGUUUGAGUAAGUUUGACAGGAUCAUGGUGAACCAUCGUAAUUUUUGGUUAAAGUAACACUUUGGAACUUCAACAAAAUUGUGGUAUCACUUAAUGUGAUUUAGUCGAACUCGCAGUUCAUCCAAACUUACACUCAUAAUGAUUACAAUGGAGAAAUCCAAGGCAGUUGAUUGAAUUUGGGUUUGGAGCCUAGACUGUUUCAAAGUUAGACUUGUCUCUUUCUAUGUGGUCAAUGUUAUCUUGCCAUCAAUAUGUCUAGUUGUCUACUUCUUGAUCAUGUUUUUGGACAGUUGGACAGUGGUGGGUGGGAUCCACAAAAGCUGGUGUGAUAGAAGAAUCUAGUUAUCUUUUUUGAUGAAUUUUUAGUCAAAAAUUUGUUGUGAAUGCUGUUUUUUGGGGCCACUUUAGGUUUCCUAUCUGUCCAUGUUGAAAUUAAAAGACAUAUUUUCUUAAUGUCAAUCAUAAUUAUAUUUAA